rnacentral:miRNA from 1 species
AAUUUCAGAGAAACACAAAUACUUUUUCAGUAUAAGUAUAUCCCUUGGACUCUUUGGGACAUACUUAUGCUAAAAAAUUA